CGUGUAGGCGGUUGGUCAAGUCUGGUGUGAAAGCCCGGGGCUUAGCCCCGGAAGUGCGCUGGAAACUAGCCAACUUGAGCGCGAUAGAGGAGGGUGGAAUUCCUGGUGUAGCGGUGAAAUGCGUAGAUAUCAGGAGGAACACCGGCGGCGAAGGCGGCCCUCUGGGUCGUUGCUGACGCUGAGACGCGAAAGCGUGGGGAGCAAACAGGAUUAGAUACCCUGGUAGUCCACGUUGUAAACUAUGGGUACUAGGUGUUCGGGGUGUUGACCCCCUGAGUGCCGACGCUAACGCAUUAAGUACCCCGCCUGGGGACUACGGCCGCAAGGCUAAA
rnacentral:rRNA from 1 species